AAUAGCGGGGCAUUCUCUUCUUAAUUCUAAUUUAAUUUAAAAUGUUGGACACAGGGUCUGCCAUGUACCCCACGCCGGCCUCAUGUUCUCACUCCUGAGCUCUGACGUCACACAAAGGUUAAGGGGUCAUCUGCUGCCUUAGUCUCAGCUCAGCCUCUUUCCACACACCUGCUGCCACCACUAACCUACUUGUCCCGAGGACACUACUUCCUUCCUGAUUCUGGGCUGUGUGGACUUUUCCAGUGAGGAUUGAGGCUUCAUCGACCAAUCAGAACAGCCUGCUUUCAGGCUUCCAUUGGAUCAUACAAGGACAUGUUGCAACUAAAAAGCUCCUGUUGUAACAGAAAAAAGACACAAAGGAAACCCACAACUCCACUUCUCAGUACCAGCCCAGCAAUGGAGAAACGGAUGGCCAGUUGGCCAGUCGGCUCAACUAUUAUACUAGGGCUGUUAUUCUGCACCCUGUC